rnacentral:lncRNA from 1 species
UUCAAGGCCCCACUUCGAGGGUGACAUUUGCAUAAAAUUUUACAGCAGUGAAGGAUCCAGGGAGACAGAAGGAAGAGAGAAACAAGUAAGGAUUGUCAACUCUUCAACAGCUUGGCUUUUAUUAAACUCAUUUCUUCCAAUCUGCUUUCUUUCCCAUUCUAUAGUAUGUUGUUAAUUUUUAAGCUUUGUCUGUUUCUUCCUAUAUCUUUUUUUUUUCUUUUAACCAACUGCCUCUCUCCACACUUUUCCUAGGAGUUAGUUUCUGUGUUCCUUCCAUCCAAACGAGGCUCAUGCUGUUAUGAACACAGAGUUCCCAAGCAGGAAUCAAAACCCCAUAUUGUCAAGCUGCCCAGCUGGCACUCAACAUGCCAGUCUCUGCUCCUGCCACAUUGCUGACUUCUAACAUUUCUGCCCAGAUAGAAAGAAACAUUCUGCAUGCACUGCAGGACCAUGUUUGCCUUAAAGGCAAAGCGCUUUCGUGUCUUUGUGCCCCGAUGUGUAUGUGUGCUUCCUUCUGGUCAUGGCUCUCUUGAGACAGUCAACUUGUUUAGUUUAAUUUUAGAAAUCUGUAUACAGUAAACUCAGGAAUGUAAUUUAAUUUGGAGAGAAGGCAUGCUUGUAGCCCAGGCAUUCCUCUAAUGGGCUUCUCUGGCAUAUGUGGGGAAAAAAAAAGUGCUAUCUUGGCUCAUCCUUAUUUCUUCUGGAAACUUACAAAAUUUAAUCAGGCAGGCACAUUUUUGGGGGAAAAAUCUUAAUGCAAAUUAAAUGUGACAGGAAGGAAGUAAAUCACUGUUUUAGCAAAUGUACUUCGAGACAUUAUUUUCUCAAAUUGACUUCAUUGAUGGCCAUGUCUGAAAGCUUUGGAAUAGUUUUUCUUUUUUCCUUGAAGCUGCAGCACCCACUGAGGUGAGAGGUGAGAAUCUUUUUUACAAAGCUGCUUGCUCUCUGUGAACUGCAGGUAAGGAUGCUGACAUCGCCUUUGGGGCUGUGAGGCUUUGUGUGUAGGGAAUGCAUCAUCUUGUUGGGAGCAGACUAGAGAGCCCUUUUCCAGUUUGAGGACCCAUUGUUUACAUCCUGGCUACAUCUAAUAUGACACACAGGGAGCAUCGGGGUUUGGUGGGGGGUUGGGCAGCCAUUAUUUCAGACAACUCAUGGGUCUUAAAUCAAUCUUAAUGUAAUAGCUAGCUAUUUUAUGUCCAGGCUCAGGAAUUUUGAUAAGACUUGUACAGUUUCUAGGGUUUUGGGAGGUGGGUUCACCGUGACCUGAGACAGAGACUGGGCUCGUUUCUCAUCAGGCAGCACACCACUGCAGAAUUGAUCUAAGCUUCUAUAUGUCUUUGAAGUCAGGACAAGAAAGGAAGCCAGGGGGCUUUAUGAAAUGUAAAGAGCUACUGUUUCAAGGCAGAGAAAGAUCUUCUGUGGCAUGUUUGUUUUCUGACUCUGUUCAUUUCUGAGGUUGAAGUGGUUGCUUACAUUUAACUCGACUGACAUGCUAAAAACGACGUGUUUGUGUGUCCCGAGUGAAAUAAAGGGGUAUUUGAAGUUAGACUUGUUCUGGGCAUUAUCAUUAGCUGUUUGAUGUAUUGCCACAAAAGCUAGCAUCUGCAUCUUUUGCCAUAGCUCCCACCACAGCUGAAGUCUGAUUCCACUGUGAUCAGACUAUGUACUGAAAACCUGCACACCGAUAAAUUCAGAUUUCUAAAUCACUGGCUAAGAAGCAAUACAUUUUUUUAUCAUCUCAGUCUGCAGGAAGAAGAUAUUUCAUUUAGUCAUGUAGAACUCCUCUGGAGAUGUAGGCUUCCGGUUACUGCUGAGAACUUUGUAUUUUCAUUAUGAGAAAGAUAUUAUAAGCUUAAAUAUUUUAAGUGAUUUGGGACAUGU